ACUCCUAAACAGAGUGCAGAGCUGCUGAUACUUCCCAGUCUUCCCAACAAAGACGUCCUCAUCAACGUGCUGUUUGACUUCCUGACUGAGUCCCCGACACAGAGGAGACUCCCACAGUUCCUGUCUCACCUCGUUAUGUUCCUUGAGACGGGAAACCUUUCCUGUUCCUCGUACAAAACACUGUUCACCCGACUGGACGAGGCCGUGUCUGUCGCUUCCUCUGACGUUGCAUCGUCCAUCUUAUCCAGCAAAUCAGCUUUGUUCAAACUGAUACCACCAGGUUGUACAAUAUACAGCACAG